UACGAAGGGGGCUAGCGUUGUUCGGAAUUACUGGGCGUAAAGCGCACGUAGGCGGAUCGAUCAGUCAGGGGUGAAAUCCCAGAGCUCAACUCUGGAACUGCCUUUGAUACUGUCGGUCUAGAGUAUGGAAGAGGUGAGUGGAAUUCCGAGUGUAGAGGUGAAAUUCGUAGAUAUUCGGAGGAACACCAGUGGCGAAGGCGGCUCAC
rnacentral:rRNA from 1 species